AGAGUUUGAUCCUGGCUCAGAGCGAACGCUGGCGGCAGGCUUAACACAUGCAAGUCGAGCGGGCAUCGCAAGAUGUCAGCGGCAGACGGGUGAGUAACGCGUGGGAACAUACCCUCCGGUUCGGAAUAGCUCAGGGAAACUUGGAUUAAUACCGGAUACGGCAAUCAGGAGAGAUCUUGGAGGCGAAAGAUUGAUCGCCG
rnacentral:rRNA from 1 species